AGACUUUUUGUACAGCUAACACAGAGAUUGUAUACGAUUGCUUUCUCUGGCAGAAGCGGCUUUCAGGUGGCGGGGAGGCAGCCCUGGCGUGUUUAUUUGAGAACAAAGGCAGUUGGAGACAAACCAGGCACACGGCCCUCCCCCAGCCUCCGCUCCGGCACUCUGGCGUUCUCCUCAAAGCCCAGGGCCCUCAUUCCAGAUGCAGAGAGGAGAUUUUAAGAUAUACCGCUGUCCUCUCACCUUCCCCUGGCUUCACCUGGUGUGCUAUCAAUGCUCUGGAUUUCACCUUCCACCUCUUUCCUGGGGAAGAGGCAGGGGUUAACUCAUGCCCAACCUCUCAGUUUUCAGGUUUGGUCUUGUGCCCAGGACCAGUCCCUGGCCCAUAUGUGCCCUUCUCCCCAGUACUUCUUUGGGCUGGAGAUGGCUUCAAAAUCUGCGGUCAACGUGUGCAUCUUUGUUCCCCUUGAACACUUCCACAAUGCCAUCUGUCACUGACCACCCACCUGCUGGGACACAUUCUUGCUCUCUGAGUUUGGGCAUUACUGAGGCCUCCUGACCCUGCCCUCCCUCCCCCUUCGUCCUGCCCCUGAGUGAGCAGGUAUCAUCCCAGACUACAACACCACCCCUACUCCCACCCCAGACUGGACGUGAGUGUGAACAGCUUCCUUGCUGGGCCCAGAACCCCCUCCCAGGGCCCAGAACGAUUAUCAUUUAGUGGCACCUAGGGCUCUUGCAGCGGUUUCUCAAGUUUCUCAGAACACAUUAUUCACAUUAUUGUUCACUCAAAAGCGUCGAGAAACUCUUGAGAGAGCUGAAGGACAUGGCUUAGUCCUCGUUUACAGAUGGGCUGUGCAAACAGAAAGGUUUUCAGAUUUUUCAGGAACCUAGAGUAACAGAGCUCAGGUUUGCUGGAACUAACCCCGGCAUCAAUAACAAAUGGGUACAGCUAGGGGAAGACUUGUAAACCUCAUAUGGAGACAAGCCUGCAGGUUUGGGCCAUGCUGCCUGCCUCUGCUGGAGGACAGGCACUGCAACCCCAUGUAUGACCCGAGUUGCUGGGGACCCAAACCCAUGGACAGGAUAGAAAAGACCCCGUUCCUUGACAUUAAGAGCUAUGUACAAGGCCAGGGCAGGAGCAAGGAAAGGUUAGCAAAGAAGGAGAGGAGGUCAGAGGGCAUGCUAUGCAAAUCUUUCAGUCUCUGCCUUGACUUCCUCAUCUGUAACAUGGGAAAUUACAAAGUCCCUCUCCUGGAGUGAUUGGUGAAGUCAUGGAUAUGAACACCAUCCAACCUAUAAAUUAGGAGGAUUUAGGAGGACUAGGAGGACUCCUUGGAGCUUAGGGAAUCUGAGCUGUAGAUUGCUACCUACCCUCCAAUAUCCAUUCUUCCCACCCUCUGAUCUUUAGCGGGGCCCAUGGCUGCCUAGACUCAAGGCUCUCCAGCCUCCCUUGUGGCCAUUUUGGCCACGUGAUUAAAUUCUGAUCAUAACACUGUAAACACAAGUAUAGUGUGCAGUUUUAGGGAGAGUCUUAAAGGGAGGACAUGCCGUUUUGUCCCUUGCUCCUCCUGAGAACUGGAACCAAACAGCAUCUUGGAUCAUGCUGUGGAAGAUACUUGAAGAAGGCAGCUGAGCAGCAAGAAAGAAUGAUUGAUUUUGACUUUGAGAAACCUCUCUUCCAGCGUCUAGACUCUUCAUUGAAAGAAAAAAUAAGCCUCUGUCUUGUUUUCAGUGCUGGUUUUCUUUUUGGGUGGUGUCUGCCACUCACAGCUGAACCUAAUCCUUAUCCCUACAGACUAGAGCCUAAAUCUCUGUCCCCAAAGGCCAGGCCUGUCCACCACAGCCCACUGCUUUAACAUAAGUCCUAAGGGAAGACUGCAGUGCUCAGAUUGGAUUGGUACUGUCCAAGAUCUGCCUAGGAGUAGCCCAAGAAAGCAGGCGAGCCCUGGCUCAGCAGACCCUCCAACACUGAGUUCCAGCUAGAAGGUGCCAGUGGCCAGCCCUCUGGGGUUUCUGGAACUGGCUGAACGUUUGGUUUUGAGAAGGGCAAGAAAGAGCAUGAAGAAUAAGAAGGCUGAGGGCAGGAGAACUGGCUUGAAAUUUCUUGCUUCCUGGCUUAAAUCCAACAUCUGGAAAAGCAGAAAGUGGGCAUAUCUUGCUUUAUCGUGCUUUGUUUUAUUGCGCUUUGGUGAUAUUACGUUUUUUAUAAAUUGAAGGUUUGUGGCAAUUCUGUGUUGAACGAGUCUAUCAGUGCCAUUUUUCCAAAAGCAUUUGCUUACUUUGUGUCUCUGUGCCACAUUUUGGUAAUUCUUGCAAUAUUUCAAACUUUGUCAUUAUUGUAUUUGUUAUGGUGAUCUGUGAUCAGUGAUUAUGACUCACUGGAAGCUCAGAUGAUGGUUUGCAUUUUUUAGCAAUAAAGUAUUUUUAAA
rnacentral:lncRNA from 1 species